rnacentral:lncRNA from 1 species
GACAAUUAUAUAGUAUAUUGAAACCAAAGAUCAUAUAACCAUAAUCCAAUAUAUAUGUUCUAAGGUUAUAAACAUCUUUACAGGCCAUUUCAAAAGUUAUAAUACAAGAUCCCAAAAUAUAACAUAAUAGACUUUAAGCUUAAAACAACGGCCCACAAAAUAACCCUACAGGUCGUCAUCCAUGUACAUCAAACUCUGGAAUUUGGUAAGAGCUCUACAGUUAGCCAUGAUCUCUACGCAGUUCCAUGCUUACCUGCAAUGCAAGAACUACAUAAGCUAAUGCUUAGUAAGCAAAAAUCAUGUAUGUCAUGAUUAUGAGUAACAAUGAUAUAUGACACCAUGUCAUUCAUUUUAAACAUUAUGUUAAAGAUGUAUCAUAUUUUAAUAUUCAUCAAAGUCAAUUCGAAAUCAUUUCAUUUGAAAGUUUUCAUUUCAUUGGGACCUUAACCCACUUAAUAAGCACCGGAUAGAGCUCUGUAUAAUAUCAAUAUCAAUAAUCAAUAAUCAAAUGGCCAAUAUGAAAUCA